CCUACGGGAGGCAGCAGUGAGGAAUAUUGGUCAAUGGGCGCGAGCCUGAACCAGCCAAGUAGCGUGAAGGAUUACUGCCCUACGGGUUGUAAACUUCUUUUAUAAAGGAGUAAAGUGAGGCACGUGUGCCUUUUUGUAUGUAUUUUAUGAACAAGGAUCGGCUAACUCCGUGCCAGCAGCCGUGUUAAUACGGAGGGUCCGAGCGUUAUCCGGAUUUAUUGGGUUUAAAGGUAGCGUAGACGGGUUGUUAAGUCAGUUGUGAAAGUUUGCGGCUCAACCGUAAGAUUGAAAUUGAUACUGGGAGACUUGAGUACAGUAGAGGGAGGCGGAAUUCGUGGUGUAGCAGUGAAAUGCUUAGAUAUCAAGAAGAACACUGAUUGCGAAGGCAGCCUACUGAACUGCCACUGACAUUGAUGCUCGAAGGUGUGGGGAGCGAACGGGAUUAGAUACCCCUGUAGUC
rnacentral:rRNA from 1 species